rnacentral:rRNA from 1 species
UACAGAGGGGGCAAGCGUUUGUUCGGAAUUACUGGGCGUAAAGGGCGCGUAGGCGGCCUACUAAGUCGAACGUGAAAUCCCCGGGCUUAACCCGGGAACUGCGUCCGAUACUGGUUGGGCUUGAAUCCGGGAGAGGGAUGUGGAAUUCCAGGUGUAGCGGUGAAAUGCGUAGAUAUCAAGAGGAACACCUGAGAUGAAGACGGGUUGCUGGGCUGACACUGACGCUGAGGCGCGAAAGCUAGGGGAGCAAACAGG